UUUGACCUCGGAUCAAGUAGGAUGCCC
rnacentral:rRNA from 1 species